UCCUUACAGCGAGGUCAAGCUUCCUGGCCGCGGGAUCGCGAUCCGACGACUAGCGGAGAGCGGUGCGUCUUGUUCGCUUGGCCCCAGCGCACAGGUUGUAACCAGGAGAGUACCCGUAGCACAUAUUGUCUCGUCCAUCUAAAAAUAGUGUCUCGUCGGAGGGAGACUUUUUCCCCAUUUCGCCUCCUCUUCCGAUUGCUUCGAUUUGCUCCGCCGAUUCGCAGACCCAGUGGAGAUUGAACGGUGCUGGUCGUCGGCGCCUGUUACAUCCUUGCCGCGCCGGCUGAAUCUUCGAGGUGGCGGCUUCCCCACGGUGGUUGCUGCUUCACAUCGGCGGCGGCUUCUUCUUCCAUGUGGCACCGGCUACAUCGUUGCGGCGUCGAUUACAUUACUGUGGUGGUGUCUUCUUCCACGUGGCACCGGCUGCUCCCUAGCGCCGACGGCUUCUUCCACGUGGCGCCGGCUACGUCCCCGCUGCGCCGGCUGCUUCCUCGCGGCGGCGACGGCUGCUCCCUAGCGGCGGCGCCGGCUGCAUCGUCGCGGCGCUGGCUACAUCCGCAUGGAGCCGGCUUCUUCCACGCGGCGUCAGCUACAUCCACGCGGGGCCGGCUUCAUCUCCCCGCCUCCGGCUACAUCCCCCGGUGACUACAUCCAAUGCAAUGUUUACUACAUUGACAAUCUGAAUUUCAGAGAGCACACCAACCCCACAGCGAGCUUCCAAAGAUUUUGGCCUAUGACAUAAAGACCUUGAAAAAACUAAUUGUUGUGGACAAGAUUACAUUCUGAGGGGCCAACAACGGAUAGAGAUCCAGGAACGGCGCGCCUUGCCCCGUAGUAUCCACCAUCUAUAGAAGAUGAACGGCCAACAGCAUCCAACAGCUGAAUGACUCGACACGUAUUCAGACUCCAGCAGGGGUCGGAAAGGGUUGUCGAAGGAAGCAGAAGCUGGCGUAUGAAGUUCCGCUGAAGGGAGUUGUUGUUGGGGUUGGAGCGACCCGUCGGAGGAGCAGUCGGUGUGGGCCGAAAGGGGCGUCAAGGCCGUUUUCCAGUGCACGCCGCUGGCGCGGCUCUCCUCCCUUUCCCGCGGCGGUGGGAGCGGCAGAGCUCUGCCGUAGUGGCCGUGCAAAAUUUUCCCAUGACUGAAGGCGUUUGGUGUCUGGCUGAAAACAUGAGCUUAUUUCCCUUUGAUUGAGUUGCUGGCGUCGGUUCUGGGAGGGACGGUGAAUGUUGGGGGUUGAGGCACAGCCGCACAGCGCUCUGGAAGUGUACGGAAAAUCACUGAUGAAAGGCACACUUCCAUCCAAGAAAAGUGAGUGCGACUAAAAGGUAGGAAGAAUCUUCGAAAGUCGAUCUCAUCAAAGGGAAUGAAGUAAGAUGAAGUAAAGUUAUACAAUAUACAUGCUUAUUUGUAGCGGAUGUGAUCGAGAGUACUUUCUUGUUCUAGAUGUCAUGCCUUUCGCAAACUUUCUGAACUAUGUUCGUCUCGAAAUCUGUUGCACUAUGUAAAAUGUUGUUCCUGGAUGUUAGUAAUAUGGAACUAUGGUCGAAGACAAAUGUUGCUUACUUUUGCAUGCAUGAGCAUAACUUCAAUGUUUCAGUCCGUUGCACAAGGAGCCUCAUAUGCUGUUAAUAGUUUUUCCAGCAUUGCCUCCGAUCAUGUUUUGUUUACAUCCUGUUGCAUAUAAUUCAAGAUGUCCUACAUAUGUUCCAUUGCUUCUGAAGAUAAUCUUAGGUUACACCUACUAAACUAGACAUGUUCCAUCGCUUGUAUAUAAUUCACUUUUACUCUACUGUAACUUUUUUUUGGCUCAUGUCGUAUUUACCAAUCAUGCAUGCCUCAUUUGUUUUACUACAUGUUACUCUUUCUUAGAUGUUACUAUUCAUCUAUUGUAACCUUGAUCUCAUACUACUAGAUGUUUUUCUUCAUGUACUCUUCAUAUACUGUAACCUAAAUCUACAACACCUUGUUACUUUAUAGUAAACGUUCCAUCUUAGAUAGGAUGUGACUUCAAAUUAGAUGUACAUGCAUGCUCAUGUUUGUAUGCAGUAAAAGUAGAUGUAGCACAGACAAGCACGAUUUAGUAUGUCAAGGUUUUACCAUGCAUGUAUCAUACACAAGAAAAGAAAGAUGAUAGUUACAGAAGAAGCUGCGUGGGGAAAAAGCUUACAGGCUCCGCUGGAGGAGGUAUAGUUUUUAGGAUUUUGAUGUAACAGCUCGAACUUAUCUCUUAUCUUUUUCGUUGUUCUUAUCCGUUUUUUGACCGGGUGAGAUGCAGAUGUAACAUCUCUGUGUUCUUUCUUCUGUUCUUCACCUCCUUCUCUCCGAUUGAGAUCCAGAUGUAACAGCUAUGUAUUCUCCCUGCUGUUCUUCUACUGCUAGCUCGAUUUGAGAUCUGGAUGUAACUGGAUCGGGAUC